AGAAGCACUCUAGCUACAGAUUAGAAUGAUGACAAGAGUAAUACCUUCCUAGUGAAGAUGACUUUUAUUUCAGGACUAUAUUAAGUUUCCCAACUUCUGUCAUGAUAUAGUCCAAAGAGAACCUGGACCACGCAGACAUCAAACAGAACAUGACACUGACCCAUUCUAUCAGUGACGUUGUGCUGAUUGCACAGGACAGAUGAGAGGCUCGUAUACUAGAAGUCUUGAUGAAGAAAAAUUGUGCCCCAGCAAGGAUUAUACCCAGAGCCUCAUCCAUUCAUACCUGAUUUAGAUACUUAGAUGAUGAGUAAUAGAAAAGGAUCCUGUGUUACCAAGGUGGUUAUCAAACCUGGGUCAAAGUUGAAUCACCUGAGGAUCUUUUAGAACAUACACAGCCAGCUGGACCUGCCCUCAGCUACCUCAUCUCUCUCUGUGACCUAAUGACAGAAAAGCACAUGAUUCUCUUCACCUGACUUCAUAUAUGGGUCCAUGUCAUAUGAUACUUCAAAAUCUGUGAUUCCAUGAAGCCAAGAGUAGCUCUUCAACAGGAAAUGAAUGAGUGCUUCAGCUUCUGAUCCCAUUAGUAAGAAAAUACAGUCUUAUGAGCAAUGAUGGAGCUGCAUCUCUUAGGGGCAUUUGAUUCCCAAGAGACCAAAGAGCAAAGAGAAUGUCAAUUUAAAAAAAUCAAAUGUUUCCAUGACUUAGCUAUUUAACUGCUUUAAAAUGAAUGAAUGCUGCUUCAAGUUCUUUCAAAUACCCCACAUCUUGGCAACAACGAAAGGAAUUAACAUGAAGAAAAUUUACAAUCUUUCAUCACAUCGAACAAUGUCCCACAUUUGAAAAGUUCACAGCACAGAUUUCUGGUUACUGAAAGAAAGGAAAGACCUUCUUUGGAUUUGAAUAAACAGAUGGACUUUCUUCUCCUUUU
rnacentral:lncRNA from 1 species